rnacentral:rRNA from 1 species
AGAGAAUAGAUACCCCGGUAGUCCACGCCCUAAACGAUGUCAACUGGGUGUUGGGGAAGCGAUUCCUUGGUACCGUAGCUAAACGCGUGAAAGUUGACCGCCUGGGGAGUACGGCCGCAAGGUUAAAACUCAAAGGAAUUGACGGGGACCCGCACAAGCGGUGGAUGAUGUGGAUUAAUUCGAUGCAACGCGAACAACCUUACCUACCCUUGACAUGUCCGAGAGCCCGCUGAGAGGUGGGUGUGCCCGAAAGGGAAUUGGAACACAGGUGCUGCAUGGCUGUCGUCAGCUCGUGUCGUGAGAUGUUGGGUUAAGUCCCGCAACGAGCGCAACCCUUGUCCCUAGUUGCUACGCAAGGGCACUCUAGGGAGACUGCCGGUGACAAACCGGAGGAAGGUGGGGAUGACGUCAAGUCCUCAUGGCCCUUAUGGGUAGGGCUUCACACGUCAUACAAUGGCCGGUACAGAGGGUAGCCAACCCGCGAGGGGGAGCCAAUCCCAGAAAGCCGGUCGUAGUCCGGAUUGCAGUCUGCAACUCGACUGCAUGAAGUC